AGAGUUUGAUCCUGGCUCAGGACGAACGCUGGCGGUGUGCUUCAUAUAUGCAAGUCGUACGAAGAGGCCUUUCGGGGCACUUCAGUGGCGGACGGGUGAGUAAUACGUAGGUAACAUGCCUUAUAUUGGGGGAUAACAUCGGGAAACCGGUGCUAAUACCGCAUCAGCCAAAGGUUGAAAUACUUUUGGUUAAAGGAGUAAUCCGAUAUAAGAUUGGCCUGCGUCGGAUUAGCUAGUUGGUAGGGUAAAAGCCUACCAAGGCGACGAUCCGUAGUUGGUCUGAGAGGAUGACCAGCCACAGUGGGACUGAGACACGGCCCACACUCCUACGGGAGGCAGCAGUAGGGAAUAUUGCGCAAUGGGCGAAAGCCUGACGCAGCAACACCGUGUGAAGGAUGAAGCCUCUUGGGGUGUAAACUUCUGUCGGCAGGGAAGAAUAUUGACGGUACCUGCAAUGGAAGCAUCGGCUAACUACGUGCCAGCAGCCGCGGUAAGACGUAGGAUGCAAGCGUUGUCCGGAAUUAUUGGGCGUAAAGAGUUCGUAGGCGGUAGCCUAAGUCUGGUGUUAAAGGCCUGAGCUUAACUCGGGUAUGGCAUUGGAUACUGGGCUGCUAGAGUGUGGUAGAGGUAACGGGAAUUCCCGGUGUAGCGGUGAAAUGCGUAGAUAUCGGGAGGAACAUCAGCGGCGAAAGCGCGUUACUGGACCAUAACUGACGCUGAGGAACGAAAGCCAGGGGAGCCAAAGGGAUUAGAUACCCCUGUAGUCC
rnacentral:rRNA from 1 species